ACUUCUUUUUCCACCGGAGCUUGCUCCACCGGAAAAAGAGGAGUGGCGAACGGGUGAGUAACACGUGGGUAACCUGCCCAUCAGAAGGGGAUAACACUUGGAAACAGGUGCUAAUACCGUAUAACAAUCAAAACCGCAUGGUUUUGAUUUGAAAGGCGCUUUCGGGUGUCGCUGAUGGAUGGACCCGCGGUGCAUUAGCUAGUUGGUGAGGUAACGGCUCACCAAGGCCACGAUGCAUAGCCGACCUGAGAGGGUGAUCGGCCACAUUGGGACUGAGACACGGCCCAAACUCCUACGGGAGGCAGCAGUAGGGAAUCUUCGGCAAUGGACGAAAGUCUGACCGAGCAACGCCGCGUGAGUGAAGAAGGUUUUCGGAUCGUAAAACUCUGUUGUUAGAGAAGAACAAGGAUGAGAGUAACUGUUCAUCCCUUGACGGUAUCUAACCAGAAAGCCACGGCUAACUACGUGCCAGCAGCCGCGGUAAUACGUAGGUGGCAAGCGUUGUCCGGAUUUAUUGGGCGUAAAGCGAGCGCAGGCGGUUUCUUAAGUCUGAUGUGAAAGCCCCCGGCUCAACCGGGGAGGGUCAUUGGAAACUGGGAGACUUGAGUGCAGAAGAGGAGAGUGGAAUUCCAUGUGUAGCGGUGAAAUGCGUAGAUAUAUGGAGGAACACCAGUGGCGAAGGCGGCUCUCUGGUCUGUAACUGACGCUGAGGCCCGAAAGCGUGGGGAGCAAACAGGAUUAGAUACCCUGGUAGUCCACGC
rnacentral:rRNA from 1 species